CAAAACCCAGCGCGCGAAAGGUUGCGAUAGGCUCAGAAGCUUCAAACCUAUCAAAAUUUCACCUUCUACCCUCGUCUGCUUUGCUAACCUACCUUCUCUCUCGUUCGCCUUGUCUACCGCUCUGCGAAGGUCCCCUCUCUCCCGUGUGAAGGUUCCCUCUCUCUCGUGGCCCUCUCAUCUCUCUAUGCUGCUGCCCUCACUCUCUCUGCGCUGCUGCCCUCACUCUCUCUGCGCUGCUGCCCUCACGCCGUCUCAUCGCUCGCCCCCUUCUCUUAAGGCCUUUCUCUCUCACUAGCUGCUUUAAAGAGAGAAGAAACCUUCUUCAUGGAGGAAACCCAACAGGCUUGGUAUGGAUUUUCUUCUGUACUCUUUUACCCAAUUUUUUUCUGGUUAGUUCUCUCUCUAUUACGAUUUUGCACAUCAUUUUUCCUUUUGCCAUUGAUAUAUGGAACGUGAGCUUUCUAUCUCUCAGCCUGAAUUUAUUCAAUUUGUAUCAUUUUUAAACUUGGUAUGGAUUUUUUGUUGGGCCCUUUUACCCAAUUUUUUUUUGAAUUCAAUCACAAAAACAGAGGUACAAUGGUGCAAUUGAAUUUUAUUACUUUCAUUUAUCAUUGAUUCUGAAAGAAAACUGAAUUAGAUUGUUAUAAAUGGGUUUCACUGCAUAAUUUUUAUUAUUUGGAUCUAUAACUUGAAGAAGUUGCAAUGAAUACAGCUGAAUGCCCUAAUAGAAAAAAUAUUUCCCGACUUUCAAUUGAAAUUUUGAUACAAUUAUUUGGUUUUAUGCCAUGCUUUUAUUCUUUAAAUAAAUUUGGGUUCAAUAUUCAUUUCCCUGUUCUGUGUUUUUUUUUGUUGGGAAUUUGAAGUUGGUGAUGACCAGGUAAAAUGCGUCCAUUGAUAAUUCAAUACCUUUAAAAAUGUUGGUGAUCUCCAAAUUUAUUUCACAGGCUGCCAAAACUAUGCUGUGAUCAUGGUCAUCCUAAUGAUUUAGUUCUGAUCAUGUAUCCUAGCAUUUUAAAAUUGUCUCAACGCAAACUGGUUAUAAUUUACACUACCAAAUAAUUUAAGGAUAAAUAAGAGAUUACAUGAACAUCCCAAUACCAAUGAAGCAAGAGAAAAUAUGUAUGAAAGAAUUAGAAAAACAAAUUACAUCCUCUGCAUAUGUUGAAGAGUUUAUAUUCGAUAUUGUCCUGCAAAGUUCAUCAUUCUUCAAGGUGUUUUUGAUUUCAUCAGAACUAACUGCAAACGAAAAUAAGAGAUCAUUACAAUUUCAGAGCAUGAAAAUAAUUACUGAACUUGUGUGACCCAAUAGGGGGGAAGCCACAAAUUUCUAGGCAGCUAUAUCAUUUAUUCAAAUUCUAGCAUGAACAAGCUGUAGAUUCAUAGACCUAACACUACGUACGAUAAAAUUCCAUUAAAACAAAAGAAUGGAUAAAAAAAUGCACCUAUUGACUCUAACUAAUCCUUUUGAAGCACCUAACUUUCUUCAUUUGCUUGGAUUGAUCUUUCAGAUAGUAAAUGUGUUUCUGCAUUGUGCAUUGUUCUCUACAAAUGCAUUAGUAUAAGGGAACAUAAGAUUCAAGUGUUGUGAAACUUGACACAAUCUAGUUAGCAUGCUAGCUGAUAUUGUUGGCAACCUUUGACCUAUGUUGUGAGGGAUAUACUUCAACUACAUAUCCCAACAUUAUUGCACACAUGAAUGUUAACCAUGAAGUAUCUGUAAAAGAAGAAAUGUGUUAAGAUGAAUAUUUUAAAACAAUAUCUGCUGUCAAAGAAUUAAAAGUUUAAUGUUAUCAAUUUACAUUUGAGGAAUCGGCUUGCCGGACAAAGUUAAGCAAAGAUGAAGGACUAUAACACACCAUACAGAGAAAAUAAACCAAUAUGAUGCAAGUGAACUUAUGCAGCAAGUUUUAGGAAACAAUUAGUUCCAGUUUAUCCAUGCUUUGUCUGUUGUCUGGAAAAUUGAGGAUUCAAGAAAUUCCAAUUUCAACUCAACGAACUACGUUUCUGGGUUGUUCUGCUGCAUCACCUAUCUAUUGGACCUUGAGUAUCAAAUCGUGCACUCAAAUUCAAUUGUUACUAAUAAAAAAUGAAAAAAAAAGGAUAUAUCAGAUGCCUUGAACAUGUAACAACACGAACCAUCACUUGCUGAAAAUUCAAGAAUUUUUCUUUUUUUUAUAGUACUUUUUAGUUGUAAUUUCUUUGUGACUUGUGUUGAGUAAAGUCUACUUUUUUUAAGUUGACAACUCUUGGCAUGGAAUAAGCCUUAAAAGAAAGAACUAUGGGCACCUUUUGUGCUUUCUUUUCUUUCCUUCUUAACUCUUCCAUUCUCUAGCGAUUGAAUUAUAUGCAAAUACUUUGCUAUUUCAAAUAUAUGGCUGGUAUUUCAACUGAGUGGUGGAUUUUAGUAUCAUCGCUUUUUAUGCUUUUCUCUGGUUGAACAGUGUAUGAGUUCUUUGGUAUGCUGGUUUUAGGAACUAAUGCCUAUGGAACCAUCAGUAUUCAAGUCAUUUUCUCUUGAUCAUUUAACCUGAAUCUUUGUGCAGUCUUCUCAAGCGGUAGUGAAUCAGCUUGUACCACCUAGCAGAGGUUUGUAGUUCUGAGCCUUUAAUACUUUGAUACUUUAGACCGAAGCUUUCAGGAAUUAAAACUCAGAUAAAUAGUAUGUUAUGAAAGGAAAACCCACAAAAUUGUUUCUAAUUUAUAAUCACUGUGAAGACGAAUUCUUUUCUAGACAAUGUUAUAUGGCGCUUAACUGAUCCAAAGAAAAAAGGUACUCCAAGCUGCAUCCAUGGUGUGUUCCCAUUGCAGGAUGGUUGUUUAUCAACGUCCCUAGUUGAAUGUCCCUAUGGGCCCCUUGACUUCGAGUAUCAUGUACAAUAGUCCAAUAGCAGUGAUGUGCUUUCCCUUUUACUAUAUUUACUAAAAUGACAUAUUCCUCAUCCUCGACAUGGAUUACUUAAAUUGCAGCCUACAACCUGGAGUUUUAUACAGAUGUGCAGGAUUUGUCUUAUUUACAAUACCACCUUGAUCGAGAUCCAUGCUCUGCCAAGUACAGGUUUGGUGCUUCCACAUCAGGCCUUAUUUCUCACUUUGCUUGAGCCAAAAGUACCUCACUCUUCCUUUGCAGGAAACUCACCAAAGAGCUAUGCGAAGUUAUUGAAGAUUAUGGUCUGGUCAAUUUCACCAACAUUGGAUAUUCAGGUAUCUCAGAGAAUGUGCUUGCUGCUUCCAAUGAUGGCACAAGCACAGAGGACGGUGAGCAAGCAAGAAGGGUAGUCUUGAUGUUCUUAGAGCGGCUUUCCCACCCUUAUGGUCUAAAAAAAUCAGCAAAGUAGCAACGAAAUAAUGAGAUGGUGUAUGGAGAACAAGCUGCCAUGGAAGUACUGAUACAACACUUUGAGCCUCAUUUGCAAAAUUGGGGAGAGUUUGUUAGGCUUCAGAAGAUCACCAAGACAACCCUAAAGAUGAGAGCUUGGCUGAGAAAGCAGCUGCUCAGAGUUUGCUGUAGAGAGUAUCUCAGUCACUUAAAACUAGCUCGUCUGGAGAGAGACUCAAGGACAUGAUUCUAGAGAGAGGGAUUACUGAAUUCGAUGUCGAGAGGUGUUUGACCUCCUUGUGUCUUUUUUCCUAUUUCAUGAGGUAUUUGACCUCCAGUGGUUUGUAAAUGAUUGUAAUUGGUCGUUGUUUAAUUAAUGGUAAUCUAGUGAAUUGUAAAUGAUUGUAAU